UUUGUUAUUUUGCAAAUGGAAGCCACACUGCCAGAUCAUAUUUGACAUUCAUCCUUUUUUUUUUUUCCUGACUUUAAUGACAGUCCAACACCUUGAAAGGGUUUAAUUGGACUCUUACUCACUUAUCAGUCUCUUGACAUCCUUUCCCAGACACUCUAACAUCAAUUCACACUUUGCAAGAUGGUCUAUAAUGGUCCUCACAUCAGUGUGACUGUCUUUCAUGAAUGUGUGAACGACUCGAGGGGAAGUUAAAAUGUCUUCUUAGCUUGUUUUUGUAUCCAAGGAACAGAACUUUGGAGCUGUUUUUCCACAGGUGGAUAGAAAAUGAUGAAUGCGUUCUUCUUUAUCUCCUCACGUUAUACAAAUACGAGUCGUCGAGCUCUAAUCGAAUUGAUCAGGCCCGGCUGAUUGUUGAUGCAAUCACUUUAAGCGCCAUGCAAUUCCAUUAUGGAGAGGCUGGCACCUGCUUUGCUUCUCUUUAGGGAUUACCAGCCGCGCAGUUAGAAUUUCGUAAUGACUUGGAGAGGAUUUAGCAUAAUAUGUGUCCCAGAGCUGUGUUUUUUGCCCCUAAAUCCUCUCAGGGCAGACCCAGCAGGGUUUUUUUUUUCUUUCAUGCAUCUCUCCAUUAUCAGACUGGAGGGGAGGUCACAUGUUGGAGAUUACAGUAACAUGAGGGGCAGAUUGCUAUUCGCUCAGCUCCAUCUAAACCAACAUGCCACCAGACUGGAUGCUUACUAAUCUGGACAAAUUUGACAAAGAGUUCUAACUUGGAUAUUUAAAUGCCCAUUUAGGGAAUUAAGAGCUGCGUUUUUUCACAUCCAGCUGGUGCAACAUUUCAGAUAACCUGAGAAGCUCCGCUUUAAAUUUAUUAUAGUGAAUGAAAAAUAAGGAUACAUCUCAAAUAUUUUUGUUAAUAAAAAACAUAUAAAACUGUUAUAUUAAAAAUGUCCUGUUUUAAUUUUUCAUUUAUUUAUUUUAAUGUUAUUUAUUAUUUUUUAUUUACUAUUCUUUAUUUUUAUUUUGACCUCAAGUUUUCUCAUGACCUUUUCCUCAAACUCAAAUUAAUUCUGCCGACAGGAUUCCCGGUGGAUUCAUUGUGCUGGUCAUGUGUGACCAAUGAGUAGUUGUUUGAAGUUGAAUUGGUGGAACUGGUUGCCUGAACACAAAACAAUUGGAAGUUUGUUACGUUAGGCAUAAAAGAUGAAACUGGCUGUUAUUGGAUUCAAAGAGCGAGACAUAAACAGGCAUGGACGACAUUGAACGGUACAUCUGGCUACCAGGUCUUGCGAACCCUAAUCCUUUUCUAGGAAGCAUUGACAGAGUGUGUUUGCAAAAUGAGUGAUCCCAGCAGGCUCGUAAAAGUCAGUGAAGAGCAACCGAGGCCUCCCCAAAGCAACCACGGAACAGAAGUGCCCAAGGUUACCCAGGAAGGUAACCAUGGAAACCCAGAAGGACCAAGCUGGAAGGGGGAGAUUGAAAUUCAGCAGUUAUAUUAUAUUUAUAUAUUUGUUUUAACAUCUGCCCAACGUUGCUGUAACUGUGAAACCAUCUGUGUGUAUGCAGGCUGCCCUGGAGCUGCCGGAGACAAACACCACAAGUACAAUGACCAUCUUUGUGUCACCAUCUGCUGCAUUGAUGGUCCAAGCAACUAUCAAGUCCUUGUGAUGCACAAAGAGGGACCACAAACAUGGUGUACUUCCUGUCCUGCAAGUCAAUCUCUAAGGAGGCUUUUGAUUGGAUGAAGUGAAUUCCAACUCCAGCUGAGACUGCAGUUAAUUGGCUUGGAAGGAUCGGAGGAGCAGCUACCGCAUCCUGCUCAGAGUCAGAACAUGAUGUCAUCCUCGCUUCCUGGAACAAAGAGAGAGAGCAGAAAAAAAUACCCCAAAAUUGAUUCAGCAUCACAAGGACGCAUCAAAGCUGGAAGAUCAGAACGAAUAGAUAGGAUGGAGACCUGGGGGCUUCGCAAGAAGGUGUUGGAAAAAGGGUGGGGGUCAGGGUCAAACCUGUUAACCCCUCCAUUGAAGAACAUAUCAUCAGGGGUGUUCUCUACACCAUUAGUCACACAAACACACAUCCUGAUCCCACAGGCAGAAGAUUGCUGUUAACACAUAGCAAACAUUUGAUCCGGCAUGGGGAUCAGCCGACUGAUCCUCACCCCCAUUAGCUCAAUGUGUUUUACCAGAUUGCUUGCAUUUUACUGUCUGCACACUGAAUAGAUGCUGAGCCCCCGGUGGCAAUUUGGAGACGUGAUUUAUACCCUUAAAGAUGACGUAUAUAUAACCUUAGCUUCAAAUAAAUGAAGUGAGAAAGCACAUUAGUUGUUUCUAGGGUGUGAUGGGAUUUAUAGGGCCGAAGAAAGACCUGAGCGACUUAUUUGUUGUUAAAGCGCCGCCGGUGGUGUUAACCCCUGACCCCGCUGCUCCCUGACCCCUGGAGGACAGCUCCAUCCACGCGUCAGGGAGAAGGCCUGUCACAGAGCAAACAUCCAAGACAGGGGCUGCAGGGGGGACGCAGGCAGACAAUUAAAAGGCAGCCUGAGUAAAGAAUGUCAGGCCACCGGAUGCAUCAAGCGUUUGCAGGAAAGUGUGAAGAUGAGGGCAGAUAAAGAGCUUGGAGGCAAUAGUCCGUGAAGCAAAUCAAAUAAAUGUGACAUUAAAUGAUUCAAUAAAUGAAUCAUUGAAUAAUAGAAAGCGAUAAAAAAUGAAUUAAUUUGUUAUUAAAUGUGUCUUUAUAUGUUUUCUCUGUUACUUUGAGCCAAAAAAAAACACACACACACACACACAAAACAAUUAAGGCAAGAGUAGAGCCAUAUUUGCUACAGAACAGAAGCAGAAAUGGACUUAAAGAACGAAUUGUAGUUGUUAUGUCGCCGUCUUGUGGUUGUUGUGGAAACUGCAACGUCGUGCAACAUCAAAUUAGUUAGUUCCAACAGGAUCAGUGCUCAUUUUAUUGGCAGUUUAGCUAUCAAAAUGUAAAGCAUAGAAUAUUAAAUGCAGUUUUAAUGGGUACAAACCAGAUCUGUUAUGUUUUCAUUGAUUGUAAUUGUGAUUGACUAACAAGCCAAUAAAGGGAAAAGCAUUGUGCCUCUCAAACCAACGUCAGGAGGAUGUAGAAGAGGAAAUUAUUCAACUAAGAUGGACAAAAGAAAAUGACAUCAUGCAUGAGAAAGGUGAUACUGCACUCACCUCCUACUGUGAUUGGCUCCUUUGCCAAAACCAGGAAACAUGUGGUUUGCAGGUACAUUCAAAUCCUUAUUUGGGAAUGAAUAGUUUACCCAACAUUGUGACCCUGACAGAACACUUUUGUCAUCAUUGCAUCUCUGACCCAAAGACAAGCAUUCCUUGCAGGUGAGUCAGACCCAAUCAGUUAUUCAGUGGAAAUAAUACACCGAAGAUGAGGGUGUUUUUGUUUGCUUUCUAUAUGACGAAUCCCCCUAUUUGGUCAUUCUUGAUGGAUUUCACAGUCUUUGUAUAUCAGAUGGCACACCGGAUGCUGAUUUUUAUCCGAGUAACCCCCAUGCGACCAACCCCAAACAAAUGACAACACAGAUGCAAAGAGAAAUGUCCAUCCAACUAUUGACUUUUUAAAAAAAAAAUAUUUCUCUUUGUAUCCAAAAGAUAUAAUUGACAAACGUCAAUGCUGUCGUGACAAAGAGGAGGAAAAUGUCAAGAGUGGAACUGGUUCUAGCUGGUAGUCGCCACCUGCACGCGAGCCGGUAAAGCACGUUGCCUUGGUUGCCUGGUUUGUUUACAAAAACACAUAAUAGCACUAUUAGCUUCAGAUUGACACUGACAAAACAAAAACUUUAAAAAGUCAAAUCAGCCCAAACAAUUGAGGUACACCUCCACGCUAUUAGGAGGUUCAAUGCACACGCAUAAAAAAAGCUGGUUUGAAAUGUACUUUUAUUAUUAUUAUUAUUUUAAUAAACAUUAAAACCUGUUAAAA